rnacentral:rRNA from 1 species
GACGAACGCGGGCGGCGUGCCUAAUACAUGCAAGUCGAACGCACGAAGUUGAAGAGCUUGCUCUUUAACCAAGUGAGUGGCGGACGGGUGAGUAACACGUGGGUAACCUGCCCAUUAGAGGGGGAUAACAUUCGGAAACGGAUGCUAAUACCGCAUAGUUUCAGGAAUCGCAUGAUUCUUGAAGGAAAGGUGGCUUCGGCUACCACUAAUGGAUGGACCCGCGGCGUAUUAGCUAGUUGGUGAGGUAAUGGCUCACCAAGGCAAUGAUACGUAGCCGACCUGAGAGGGUGAUCGGCCACACUGGGACUGAGACACGGCCCAGACUCCUACGGGAGGCAGCAGUAGGGAGUCUUCCGCAAUGGACGAAAGUCUGACGGAGCAACGCCGCGUGAGUGAAGAAGGUUUUCGGAUCGUAAAACUCUGUUGUUAAAGAAGAACAAGGAUGAGAGUAACUGCUCAUCCCCUGACGGUAUUUAACCAGAAAGCCACGGCUAACUACGUGCCAGCAGCCGCGGUAAUACGUAGGUGGCAAGCGUUGUCCGGAUUUAUUGGGCGUAAAGCGAGCGCAGGCGGUUCUUUAAGUCUGAUGUGAAAGCCCCCGGCUCAACCGGGGAGGGUCAUUGGAAACUGGAGAACUUGAGUGCAGAAGAGGAGAGUGGAAUUCCACGUGUAGCGGUGAAAUGCGUAGAUAUGUGGAGGAACACCAGUGGCGAAGGCGACUCUCUGGUCUGUAACUGACGCUGAGGCUCGAAAGCGUGGGGAGCAAACAGG